GAAGCAUCCCUCUUUUCCCCUCCGCUCCUGCUCCAGCACACAAUGUGAUCCACCAGCAAGGAGGGACUCCAAUAAGGCGUCCGAUAAGAUAAGUCUUAUAAAAUAUAUAGGUUUAUGAUAGUUAAGACAGAGCUAACAGAUGAGAUCCUAGUCAUUGGCCAAGCAGCAUUGUACCUAAUACAAGUUUCUGUGUAUUCAUUUGGGCCUAACUCGGGCAGGCAGCUGAGCUCACUCGUGGCGGUGGGGCUUGGGCGGCUUUUGGCAGAAAGAUUUACUGUAACAGAUCCUGAAGUAUAUAAGAAAGUUAUCUGAUUCAAGAUACAGUCAGAAUGCAAUAGGUUACCCCGUAGAAUUCAUUCCAGUCUUUCACCUGUGGACAUAUUAUGCCUGACAGGUGAGAAUUGUGACAUGUGUUGUCCACAUCUAAGUAAGACCAUUGAUGGCUUUCUCCCUCAGAGGCCUUCAUAGAACCUUCCAGAAGUAUAAAAAUUAGCCAGCAGGGGGGAGGUUUCCAGUUUAGUUUCACUUUGGUUUCUGUGUCCUACAGUGUGUUGCCUUCAAGAAUGUAAAUCUUACGAAACAGUCUGAUGGGCAACCGAGAGCAAUGGUAAUAGCUUUUAUUACUUUUGGAGCCUCUGAGGCCUUCUUGACCAACAAUUCAUAGGGAGGUAUUCCAUUCCUGUCACAGGGAUUUUCAUUUAAACCUGUGGCUACUGUGAGAAGCAUUGUUUUAAUAUAAAAAUAAUCACAAGAUUUGAACUAUAAAGGGAUCAUUUAAUAUAAAGGUUUUUUCACCUUAUAUGCCAGCCUGUAAUUAACUAUGAAGGUGCUACUAGGGUGUUAGCUUUAACUUCUUCCAGUGGGAUAGGAUGGAAAUGGAUUCUGGUGUUUCUGCUCAUUUAACUUUGGGACGUAGAAUAUAAUAGCUGCCCUCAUCAAAUUCACAUUUGUAAUCUAUAAACCGGAUUGCUAAUAUCUACAUCACAAGUCCCUAGAGUGCAAGGACUCCAUGGAACAAGCAGGGCACACACAGCAGUGUGAAUUUUCUUCACAGUCUGGAUUCUUGAAUAAGAAUAGUUCCUGCCUAGGUGCUCUCCAAAACACACUAAUCUUUCCCUCAUAGAGUUACUGAAGGUGUGAUCAACUAUAACAUUGAUUCCCCAAAGUGCCUAGCAGGUCUGAGAGGAAAAGUUCUUGCUCUCUAUUUCUUGCUUUGAAGUAAUUUCCCAUUGUCUUGCUUCCUCUUCUUCUUUCAAAUCUUGCCUUCCUUUCUGGGAUCCCUCUCACCCUCUCUUCAUUUCCCCUUUCCUCCCUCCACUGAAGUUGAGUGUCAUCACAUGACACAUAGUGAUGUGACUCUUGAUAUGUUUUUCAUUAAAGCACUAAUGCUACAUGUCUCGAGAUGCACUGCUCUGGGAGCUUUGCAGAGUUUCCAAGAUGAAAUCUGAUGAUUUCUGUUUCUCUCCUUUAUUAGAAACUCAAUGAAUUUGGCUGUAUCACAGUGUGGGGCACUCAGAGAGACCACAUUCCAUGACAAAUCCACUUACUUAGUGGCUUGUGCUCUGUGUUUAGGGACAGUGGUUGGAGGCUUGGCAAGAUUGCUUGGCAAGAAUCCACAAGCCUUAUUUGUCCCUCUUAUAAAGAGAUAGCUUCUUCCUCAUUCAGUCCUCCUAGAUGAAAUUGAGAGGUCAUUUCUGUAUGAGAAUUGGGCAUAGAAAUUCAGUUAAAUUUGUAUUUUCCCAAAUCUAAGGAGAAGAAACAUUUGCAUCUCCAUUACCUCAUAUGGUUGGUACUAUUUCAAUAUAUGUCCUUCACAUUUGCUUGGGAAAAUUUCAAAGGCUAAGUUAGGUCACAUGAAGCUCCAUUUGAAUCUUAUCUACAGAAUUGUUAUAUUCAUCUAUACAUCCAUCUAUCUAGCAAGCCAGUCAUCAGUCAUUAAUUCAUGUAUCUGUACAUCUGUUGAACCAUUCAUUAAUAUCUUAAAAAUAUUUAUUAAUCUUUUUCCUGUGUUUUAAAUAUUUUUAAACUUUUGUCACAAAUAGAUAGCCUGGAACUCAUUGUGUAGAUCAGGCUGGCCUCAAACUUACAGAAACCUGCCUUAAUACUGAGAUCAAAGGCAUGAACCAUUAUGCCCAGUGUGUGUGUGUGUGUGUGUGUGUGUGUGUGUGUGUGUGUGUGUGUGCUGUCUUAAAAACAAUUUUGUGUAUGUUGUGUUGCAUGUAUGGUAUAUAUGAUGUAUGUACUUGUUUAUAUAGAUGGGUACAUUGUACCUACAUGGCUUCUGUAUACCAGUUUUUGGAGAUAGGAUCUCUCACUGAACCCAAAACUCUUCAAUUUUUGAAUGGCUAAACAGACAACCUGUCUACCUCCCUGUGGCCCUCCCUAAACUCUGAGAUUACAAAUGUGUGCCAUCAUACAUGGCUUCUUGGAAUCCAAAAUCAGGUCUUCACGAUCUCAUCCCCAGAUCCCUGUCCUAUGUUCUGCUGGAGAUUUGUCCUAAGCACUCACAGGAAAUGCUGAAUAAAUUUCAUUCAGAUCAUUCCACCAAGGUGUUUGCCGUCUGGUGAAUAAGUGGGUGUGGGGAGCCAGAUCAACUGAAGACUUUCUCAGAGGCCCCAUGAAAGGAAAAAGGGGCUUUGCAAGGCUGGUCUAGGUCUUGGAGCCAGUGCCUUGAAAGAGUUAAGGUUGUGGCUUCUAAGGACCGAACUCUUUCCUUGGGGCUGUCAUUGUCAGUCUUUUAGCAGCUCUAUCUGUGUUCUCUUUGCUAACUUUGUCUGACUUAGCCCUCUACUGAUCUUGGCAGAUUUUCCACUGCAAAUUGUAUAUGAGAUGCUGUACUUUUCAAAAUGUUUUUUAUUUUAAAACAAUCUUUUCUCAUUUUGCAUACCAAUCCCUGUUUCCACUUCCUCCCCUCCUCUUGAUCUCCCCGCCUCCCUCCUACUCCACUCCACCCCAUCCACUCCUUAGAGAGGGUAAGGCUUCCCCUGGGGAGUCAACACAGUCUGGCACAUCACUUUGAGUUAUGACCAAGGCCCUCCCCCCAUAUAUAGGCUGAGCAAGGUACCCUCCAAAGAAAAUGGGCUCCAAAAAGUCAGUUGAAGCACUAGGGAUAAAUCCUGGUCCCACUGGCAGUGGCCCCUUAGACUGCCUGAGCCACACAACUGUCACCCACAUUCAGAGGGCCGAGUUUGGUCUUAUGCAGGUUCCCCUGCUGUCAGUCCAGAGUCAGUGAGCUCCCACGGAAUGCUGUACUUCUUAAUAAUCUUGCUUGGCACCUGGUCCCAGCUAUUGCUUUUGUCUCCUUUAUGUCUCAUUUUCUUGGCACCUGGUCCCAGCUAUUGCUUUUGUCUUUAUUUCUUGUUUUCUUGAUUUCUCAUGCUUGGAUUUCUAAUCAGCACCUCACCAUAUGGGACCCUUACUCCUGCUGGUUUGGGACAAGUGGGUACAGGCAUGAAGAUUUGAAUCAAACAGGAGUCUGUUUUCUUUGAGUCCUGAUGGGUGUGGAGCUUCAGGGAUAGGCUGGUUGGAUCAGCAGCAUUCCCAGUUCAUCCUGAAAGACCUGAGACAGCUAUAUAAUUCACAGGGUUUGAGGAGGCUUCCAGUAUCCAGAAAAACAUGUUUAUAACAUCAAAGUUCCAGAUCAGCGAUCUGAGCUCAGAAAUUUCACAGGCUGCGUUUCACUGGAUAUUUGGUUUCAACAUGGAUUGUAAACCAUAGCACCUGAAAUGACUGAAACAUGUGAACCCACUGGCAAGCUGGUGAACACAGCAUCUGAGGUGUGCAUGCUCAGUGACUCACCAAGUCACUCUUUCACUGCCUGUCUCGUUGAGAUGAUGGCCUUGUAGGGAUCCUCAGUGGUGAGCAGCUGGGUCCCAGGUCAAGCUUCCCUUGCCUUUUUUUUCACAGACACAAUUUGUCUUCUGUAUUGUCUUACCUAAUCUGGCCAAGACAUCAGCUAAGGGAAUACUUUAAGAGAAGAGUACUGUGAACACCCAUAUAUCUGUCACUUAAGUCCAAUAAUUGUUAACAUCCUGUCCAAUUUGCUUCUUGCUGUAUUUUGUCUGAACUAUUUGAAAGGAAAUUGCAGGCAUCAUAAAACUUCACCUCUAAAUAUUUCACCAUGUUCAUCUUCGAAAUAAAGAACUUUUGUCACAAAAUCACCCUACUAUUUCACACCUGAGAAAAUUAAGAAUUUCCCCUAGUACUUAAAACAGUUCAAAUUAUUCCUAAAAUGUCUUUUCUGGCUUAUUCCUUUGCUUUCUUAAGAUUAGGAUCCAUUUAAAGUUCAUACCUUGAAAUGCCCAUCUUUUAAGGGACACGGAAUCUAGUUCCUCCCCCGGGGUGGAGAUGAAUAGAGGUCAAUUAAGCAGUAGGCUGUGAUGUGGAGUUCUGGAUCAUGGUGAAGGAAUCCAUGGCUAUGUAUUUUGCCAAGUGGGAGGUUCUCAAAUCUAGUUUCCAUGGAAUAAUCAUGCUUCUAAAAAGUAUUUUAGAUACUGUCCCACGGUUGCUGACAUUUUAUUUUGUCAAAUGUAAGGCAUCAGAAAAAAGUCUAUCAUCUGAUAGUACCAUUGUUUAACUAACAAGUGACAUUUUAACACUAGAGUCAAGGUCAUGGUUUCAGAAUAUAGGGCAUUUUUUGAGGACAUCAAGGGACCACUGGUCUUGUCAGGGCUCUACAUAUGUUAUAUGGCUGAGCUAGUACAUGAGGGAUGGGGGACAUGAUGUUAAGAGAGACUCAUUAGCAAUUAGUACAUGGAGCUGGUUGGAGCAGAAUAUGGGAACCUUUGAGAUUUUCAUGUGAGCUAUUAAUCUUGUCCCUCUUCUCUUGGCAUCUGCAAAUGAAAAUGUUGUGUCCCUCCAUGACGGCUAUUCUUGCUUGUCAACUUGACUGUAUCUGGAAUGAACUAUAACCCAGAUAUGAAGAGCACACUUGUGAACAGAACCUUGAGCCAAGAAGACAACAGGCCUUUGAGCUGCAUCAUGAGGCUGAAUGACACACACCUUUAAUCCAGACCUCCAGGCUGGAAGCCACACCUUUAAUCCUAGCCACACCUGCAGGAAGAACAAGGGAAGAAGGGUGUGUUCUUUCUUUGCCUGUUUGCCCUUGCCUUGCCAGCACAUCCUUUCCUUCACUGGCAUUGGAGCCUAAUUCUUCAGGAUUCCAACAUAUAUGGAAGACCAGCUGAGACGUCCAGCCUCAUGGAACUGAGCAACUAUAGGUUCUUGGCCUUUCCAUGCAGUCUGUCCAGAUGUAGAAUUCCCAGCUCCUUCUCCAGCACCAUGUCUACCUGUGUGCUUCCAUGUUUCCCACUAGGAGGGUAAUUGACUAAACCUCUGAACUGUAAGCCAGACCCAAAUAAAUGUUUUUCUAUAUGAGAGUUGCCAUUGUCAUGGUAUCUCUUCAUUGCCAUUGAAAUCCUAAGACACCUCGAGUACAUCCUCAGCUUCAUGUACUGUCUCUUGCUUGGCCUUCAGAUCCUUUCUAUCUGCCUUAAACUUUGCCUCAUUUCCUAUUUUUGCUGUCUGUUUUUGCCUCCUGCUCCUCCAGGUCUCUGCCUUUCUCUCUCUUGGGCUUAGAGCUAUUCAAAUCUUACAGGUUCUGGUCAGCUCCUUUCCUGGGAAUCUGCUGCUCAUGUUGCUGUUGCUUCCUGGACUUAGUUAGAAUCUAAGGUUGGAAACUUAGAGCAAGGAGCAGCUCCCCAUGGAGUAGGGUGCAUGUCCUAAGAGCCUUCUCUUGACAGAAGGAGGGCAGCUGGAAGUUGCUCUGUAGAACAGUACCUGCUGUGCAAGUAGAUCUAUUUGUUCUAUAGCACUGUAUUCUGCCAAAUCAAUUGAAGGAGGAAAUUUUAAUGGCAUUCUGAGAAAUUUACUGGUAGUGACAUUGAGUAAGAUUUUUAUGGCAUAUUUUUAAAUUUUUGCCACUUGCAGCUAUUUGCUGUACAGAAUGCGAAUUAAACUUUCCAUGGUAUACUUCUUUUCGGUCAUCAUCCUUCUUAAUGUUCCCUGUCUGUCACAUCUGAGUGGAGAGCAAGCUGAAGGCCUGAAGUGGCUGUCAGCUCUAGAAUUCUGGACAGAUGAUUUUAAUCUAUCUGAGUGAACAAUAAU
ensembl:lncRNA